rnacentral:tRNA from 1 species
GAGGUAUUGGUGUAGUAGUAGCACAGCAGCUUGUGGAGCUGUUAGCGAGAGUGCAAUCCUCUCAUACCUCC